rnacentral:rRNA from 1 species
ACCCGCACAAGCGGUGGAUGAUGUGGAUUAAUUCGAUGCAACGCCGAAAACCUUACCUACCCUUGACAUGUCCGGAAUCCUGCAGAGAUGCGGGAGUGCCCGAAAGGGAAUCGGAACACAGGUGCUGCAUGGCUGUCGUCAGCUCGUGUCGUGAGAUGUUGGGUUAAGUCCCGCAACGAGCGCAACCCUUAUCAUUAGUUGCUACGCAAGGGCACUCUAAUGAGACUGCCGGUGACAAACCGGAGGAAGGUGGGGAUGACGUCAAGUCCUCAUGGCCCUUAUGGGUAGGGCUUCACACGUCAUACAAUGGUCGGUACAGAGGGUUGCCAAGCCGCGAGGUGGAGCCAAUCCCAGAAAGCCGAUCGUAGUCCGGAUUGUUCUCUGCAACUCGAGAGCAUGAAGUCGGAAUCGCUAGUAAUCGCGGAUCAGCAUGUCGCGGUGAAUACGUUCCCGGGUCUU